UACGGAGGAUCCAAGCGUUAUCCGGAUUUAUUGGGUUUAAAGGGUGCGUAGGUGGUUCUUUAAGUCAGGGGUGAAAGACGGCAGCUUAACUGUCGCAGUGCCUUUGAUACUGAAGAACUUGAAUACACUAGAGGUAGGCGGAAUGUGACAAGUAGCGGUGAAAUGCAUAGAUAUGACACAGAACACCGAUUGCGAAGGCAGCUCACUAAGCUGUAACUGACACUGAGGCACGAAAGUGUGGGUAGCAAACAGG
rnacentral:rRNA from 1 species